AUCAUCUGAAUCAGCUGUUUCACUGCCAAUGGGACCCAAUUGCCAUUUCAGCACCAUAAUAGGGAGGCUAAUUGUUACGAAUAUAGAAAUAAAUAUAAUAUAGAAAUAAAUAUAACAUAGAAUUUGAAUUUGAGGAAAAUUUUCUCCUAUCAAAAUUUUGGAAAGAAAAUGAAUAUAAGAGGAUUUUGAAUAAAAGAAGCUAGAUUUCUGUUUUGUGUUCUGCCUAUAAAAAUACAUGAUAUGGCACGAUUCCAAGAUGCAUGUUAGACAAGAAUGUUUACAUAAAACAGUAGUCCAUCUUUCACAACUUACAGAUAGAAGGUAUUGACAAGACUCGACAUUGCUUGCUUUCUCGAAACAUAUUUCAUUUUGCUUUCUAACAUGAAUUGAUAAAUUCCCAAAGCCUGCUCCUGGACAUCAGCGUCCCAUAAACCCAUCCAUAUCUCCCUACUACUAGAAAUCAUUUCGGGAAUAAAUUCCAAUAGAGAAUAAGAAUUCUGCUUGGGAACCAGAUUCGAAAAAUAAUCAAAAAAAAAAAAAAGAAGAAA
rnacentral:misc_RNA from 1 species